GCGCCGGUGGUGGAAUGGCAGACAUACUAGGCUGAGACCCUAGGUCCACAAUGGACGUCCGAGUUCGAUUCUCGGUCGGCGUAC
rnacentral:tRNA from 1 species